UGCAGCAUGGUUCAAAGUCUGUCUGACUGUAGGUGGUCUGUGGUGGGACUGCAGCACGGUUCAAAGUCUGUCUGACUGUAGGUGGUCUGUGGUGGUCUGUAAAUGCAAAUCUGAUUCAGAAGAAAGGUUGUUUGAGAAAAGCCAAGUCCCAUCCUGGGCUGACUCUAGCUGCUGUGUUACACUGCAUGGCUUCUAGAGGAUACAGAGGCUCAAGGCUGUGCUCAGCUGGGAAGUCCCAUGAACCACUACAGAGACAUAGACAGACUCAGUGUCACAAGACACUGCCAGGGGAUAUCCACAACCUCAGAAAGUUAGGAGCACAUUCACAGCAGCCUGUUCUGUCCAAGAGGUGGCUAUGAACACAAGCUUGAUGGUUUCAAAGCUAGAGCGACUAUGAUCCUUUAUUCAGACAUCACUCCGUGGGGACAACGCAUUUCAUAAGCUGUGUCUGGAGCACUGUCCCAGGGAGACACUGAACCUGCCUCUUCUACUCUCAAUGGCCAGUCUACUAGGACUAGUGCGUGCAGGGGUUUGUGCAGCCCCCACACUGCAGUUUCUAACCCCAUUACACACUGUGUGAACAGCAGCAGCAGCAGCCUACAGCAGCAGAGCCCGCUGCUUCUUCCCUGGCCCUCACCCAACCUCCCUACAGCUUUCUGGUGUUUGUUGUGGGCACCGCUCAGGGUUGUACUGGUGGAUGCACUUUCCUGACAGGCUAAUAUUUUCAGAAACCAAGGGGGCCUCAGGUUAGGUAAGAGUUUCACUAUUGAGCCAUUUAGGUAAGCUCACUAGGGUUAACACAAAGACAAGAGGUUGACUCUCUCGGACGCUGUGACGCUCAACUGACAACAUCAGCGUGCACAGCACAAGCUGACUCCACUAUUCUGUGAUCUUCGUCCUCUUACGCGGUCCCCACACAGCUCAGAGCUGAGGCCAACAGAGGGGAACAAGGCCUUAGACAAGGUAAGGGGCUCACAAACAGUGAAUGAGCAGGAGACAGCAUCUGGACCUUACAAGCCCAGCUGUCCUAAAGCACCCAUGGUAUUCCCCGAUACUGCCCAGGACCCACUGGAAACACCCUCAGUUAAGCCACCAUCACUCUCACCCCCAGCAGGUCACAUCCACUCUAAAUCUCUGACCAAAAGACCUUACCCAGUAUUCCCGUAGCUUCCCUCCAGUCUUCCUUCCGCCCUCUGAGCGACUGGCUGGCUGUGCCAUGAACACCUAUGUAGGUAGCUGCCCAUCCCUAUUUUUAAGAGGCAGGUCUGCAAAUGCAGCAAAAAUUCCCUCUUGUUGUUGUGAGACAGACCUCAUAUGACACAAGUCAGCCUAGAACAUGGAUCGUCCCAUUUCAGCCUCUAAAGUCAGGUUUCCACACAGCCACCAGUGCAGACCUUGGUCUUUGACAGCUCGUAUUCUGUCUCCUCACUCCCUUUAUUCAGACAUUUUUACCUCCUUAAGAACCUCC
rnacentral:sRNA from 1 species